rnacentral:rRNA from 1 species
UAGGGAAUUUUCGGCAAUGGGGGAAACCCUGACCGAGCAACGCCGCGUGAGUGAAGACGGCCUUCGGGUUGUAAAGCUCUGUUGUAAAGGAAGAACGACCUUGAUAGACUCAAGGAGUGACGGUACUUUAUCAGAAAGCCACGGCUAACUACGUGCCAGCAGCCGCGGUAAUACGUAGGUGGCGAGCGUUAUCCGGAAUUAUUGGGCGUAAAGGGUGCGCAGGCGGUUGGUUAAGUUUAUGGUGAAAGCGUGGGGCUCAACCCCAUAUAGCCAUAGAUACUGGCCAACUAGAGUGCAGAAGAGGGUAGUGGAAUUCCAUGUGUAGCGGUAAAAUGCAUAGAUAUAUGGAGGAACACCAGUGGCGAAGGCGGCUACCUGGUCUGUAACUGACGCUCAAGCACGAAAGCGUGGGGAGCAAUAG